rnacentral:rRNA from 1 species
GAUGAACGCUGGCGGCGUGCCUAACACAUGCAAGUCGAACGGAGUCGUUUUGGAAAUCUCUUCGGAGAUGGAAUUCUCGACUUAGUGGCGGACGGGUGAGUAACGCGUGAGCAAUCUGCCUUUAAGAGGGGGAUAACAGUCGGAAACGGCUGCUAAUACCGCAUAAAGCAUUAAAUUCGCAUGUUUUUGAUGCCAAAGGAGCAAUCCGCUUUUAGAUGAGCUCGCGUCUGAUUAGCUAGUUGGCGGGGUAACGGCCCACCAAGGCGACGAUCAGUAGCCGGACUGAGCGGAUGAACGGCCACAUUUGGACUGGGACACGGCCCAGACUCCUACGGGAGGCAGCAGUGGGGAAUAUUGCGCAAUGGGGGAAACCCUGACGCAGCAACGCCGCGUGAUUGAAGAAGGCCUUCGGGUUGUAAAGAUCUUUAAUCAGGGACGAAACAAAUGACGGUACCUGAAGAAUAAGCUCCGGCUAACUACGUG